ensembl:piRNA 21ur-14547 ncRNA
UUAGCAACAUUGAAAAUAUUA